GGGGGAAUAGCUCAGUUGGGAGAGCAGUAGACUGAAGCAGCUCAGGUGUAUUCUAAAGGUCCCGCGUUCGAUCCGCGGUUUCCCCA